CGAGCUAAUCAAUACCAAAUUUCAAAAAUAACCCAACCACCCACCAACCAUUUGAACCUAGUCAACAAUCCAAUGUCCCACCUAAGAAUCUCCAAUUUAAAAAUGAUAAAGUAAUCUCUGAGCUUAAAAGUGAUAGAAUUCUUAAGGACCCAUACCAAGACUAAAUGAAAGAGGCUAGUACUAAUGCUAGCCAAAGUGUGAAUUUAGAAGAGGAGGUUAGUACUGAGAUUAACCCAAUUAGAAGAAUCUGAGCUCGAAAUUGUUACUGAUUUGAGUAAAAAAGACAAAGAAAAGAAG
rnacentral:lncRNA from 1 species